UACGGAGGGUGCAAGCGUUGCUCGGAAUUAUUGGGCGUAAAGGGUAGGUAGGUGGUCUCAUUUGUCUGAGGUGAAAGCCUUGAGCUUAACUCAAGAAGUGCCUUAGAAACGGUGAGACUAGAGUCUUGGAGAGGGUCGUGGAAUUCCCGGUGUAGCGGUGAAAUGCGUAGAGAUCGGGAGGAACACCAGAGGCGAAGGCGGCGACCUGGACAAGUACUGACACUCAACUACGAAAGCGUGGGGAGCAAACAGG
rnacentral:rRNA from 1 species